rnacentral:rRNA from 1 species
UACGAAGGGGGCUAGCGUUGUUCGGAAUUACUGGGCGUAAAGCGCGCGCAGGCGGUUCUACAAGUCAGAGGUGAAAGCCCGGGGCUCAACCCCGGAACUGCCUUUGAAACUAGGUAGCUAGAAUCUUGGAGAGGCGAGUGGAAUUCCGAGUGUAGAGGUGAAAUUCGUAGAUAUUCGGAAGAACACCAGUGGCGAAGGCGACUCGCUGGACAAGUAUUGACGCUGAGGUGCGAAAGCGUGGGGAGCAAACAGG